rnacentral:rRNA from 1 species
UACGUAGGGACCGAGCGUUGUCCGGAAUCAUUGGGCGUAAAGAGCGUGUAGGCGGCCUGCUAAGUCCUGCGUGAAAUCUCGGGGCUCAACCCCGAGCGGUCGUGGGAAACUGGCAGGCUAGAGUGCGGGAGAGGAGAGUGGAACUCCAGGUGUAGCGGUGAAAUGCGCAGAUAUCAGGAAGAACACCGAUGGCGAAAGCAGCUCUCUGGGACUGUACUGACGCUGAGGCGCGAAAGCGUGGGGAGCGAACAGG